rnacentral:rRNA from 1 species
UUCAGAUGGCGACCGGCGCACGGGUGAGUAACACGUAUCCAACCUGCCGCUUACUCGGGGAUAGCCUUUCGAAAGAAAGAUUAAUACCCGAUGGUAUAAAGAGUUCGCAUGUUCUCUUUAUUAAAGAAUUUCGGUAAGCGAUGGGGAUGCGUUCCAUUAGAUUGUUGGCGGGGUAACGGCCCACCAAGUCUACGAUGGAUAGGGGUUCUGAGAGGAAGGUCCCCCACAUUGGAACUGAGACACGGUCCAAACUCCUACGGGAGGCAGCAGUGAGGAAUAUUGGUCAAUGGACGAGAGUCUGAACCAGCCAAGUAGCGUGAAGGAUGACUGCCCUAUGGGUUGUAAACUUCUUUUAUAAGGGAAUAAAGUGAGGGACGUGUCCCUUUUUGUAUGUACCUUAUGAAUAAGGAUCGGCUAACUCCGUGCCAGCAGCCGCGGUAAUACGGAGGAUCCGAGCGUUAUCCGGAUUUAUUGGGUUUAAAGGGAGCGUAGGUUGACGUAUAAGUCAGCUGUGAAAGUUUACGGCUCAACCGUGAAAUUGCAGUUGAUACUGUAUGUCUUGAGUGUACAAGAGGUGGGCGGAAUUCGUGGUGUAGCGGUGAAAUGCUUAGAUAUCACGAAGAACUCCAAUUGCGAAGGCAGCUCACUGGGGUACAACUGACACUGAGGCUCGAAAGUGUGGGUAUCAAACAGGAUUAGAUACCCUGGUAGUCCACACAGUAAACGAUGAAUACUCGCUGUUUGCGAUAUACAGUAAGCGGCCAAGCGAAAGCAUUAAGUAUUCCACCUGGGGAGUACGC